ACACAUAAAAAUGUUAAAGAAUGUUUUAAGCCUCUAUAAAACCUACCUUACCUCAACCUUAUGAUUUCAAUUUUCAAGACAAUAAAAGGGGAGAGAUUUAUGGCUAAAAAUGAUGCACGAUAUGCAAUUGCAUUGUUGAUAAUUAUAAUAGUAGUUAUUUGUUCUGUUAUUAUGGGAUUCCAUGACACUAUUUUUGAACAACGUUGGACUACACCUUAUUAUAUUGGAUCUGAUCUGUUGAAACCAUGUAUAGCUAGAUGCCAUAGAAACUUUCCUUAUCACGAGAUUACUAGGUUUUUGUGCAUUCGGAAAUGCUAUGAUCACCAUGGAUCGAAUAAGUUAAGCUCGCGCAGGGGCGCUCACGUUUUUUGGCUGAGCCGUAUCUUGCUGGGUGGGACCGAGAGCAAGAAAGGAAGGGGGACAACCAUGCAUGGUACUUCUCGACCGUGUCUCCGAAGAACAGUUGAACGAGCGACUCAUGAAUGCUGUCGGGUUGGAUGAGCCAAUAACUCGAACGCGUUCGGUCUGUUUUUUGAGCAAGAAUCACAACGUUACCUUACCUUCACUAUGAUACGGACUCCAAAUUUUCAAAAAUUUUAAUUUCUUGCAUCUCCUCUUUCUGAAAGUAUUGAAGGGACUAAACUUUCGUGUCAUGAGAUUGAAAUUCUAAUUUUAGUCUCUCUGACCACUAAAUACAAUAUCGAAUUACAGUUUCCAAA